UCGGUGGUGGCGUGAUGCCUCCUGCACGGCUGCAUCGGUGGUUAGAGAAUGAAGGAGGAGGAGAGAAAAGAAAAGAGGAGGGCGUGGUGGCGUGGCUCACCGUUUGGUCGCCGGCGGCGGAGGAAGACCCGUGUUUUACCUUCGACGGAUUGUGAGGCCCAAGAAGUUUCAAUGAAAAGAGGAGAUAGCGUUCCUACACAUCACCAGAACCAUAAAGUUCGCUGGAUAUAUAAGUGUAACAUAUCCAUUACAGUGGGGAGCACAAGCUUUUGAUGCUGGUGUGUCAUCAAGGCUUAGAUGUACUAGAGAUGAUGCGAACAAGCUCCUUGAUCCCUUACGAAGUUACAAUUAUAUCUCACAGGUCUUGGCAUUUGUUGGCCUUGCUCAACUGAAGUCUUCUCCGGCAUUGUGUGUGUCUUAAACUCUUAAUUUAGGUCCAACAUUUGGUACGCUCACAGCUACUUCCUUUGCAGCUUUCAUGUUGCAUGCGAUUAACCUGAAGAUCUCCAUGUACACUCUAUGGCAUGGUUUGCAAGAACUCAUCUUGCAGUUUUGUUUACACUAGAAUACGCUAUAUAAAAGCUUGUUCCAUAUUAAUUUUUAAAUUCAGAUUGUCACAUUCCGAUAUAAUUUUUUUUUGUUAAUGAUGAGAUAUUUUGCCAUGGUCAAUACAUAAAGAAACAUGUCUUGAUUUUUCUCUUGAAUCGUACCUGCAAGUUUGUCAACUGUUUAGUGAAGCUUUCCUUCAAAAUAAUUCUAAAUACUACAGGAAGUAGAGUAAGACAGUGACAGUUACUUUCCUUGCUGAUGUUAUUGCUCAGGUGAAGGUAUUGCUAUCCAUUUUUUUAGGUUGAAUCUAUGUUCCGAGCACUGGUCAUCAAAAUGGAGUUUCUGCGUUUUCUUCGUACUGAAAUGACACAACUAUGAGGGCGCCAUUUUAUCCUCCGUGCUUUCUGUUUUUGAUGAUCAUAGAACAGUGAAAGGGGACAAGGCUGCACAUAAAUUUCAUGCUUAGGAAUGAUUUCAAUCUUUCCAUUCCUCAUAACAGUGAGAAGGGCAAUAAGGCUACACUUACAAACUGUGUUCAUGAAAUCAAUAUCAUCAACCAGCAACUCCAAGAUUCAAGUGUGGAUGCGAGUGUGUUUCAGAUUUUAGUCUUCAUACUCCCUUCAGGCUGUUAUCUCUACAGUCUGAUGCUGGCUGCUUCUCACUUUUAUGGAUGACGGACUUGGUUUUCUCAUAGUGAAAGUCAUUUAUUGAAUUUUAUUGGUACUGAAAUGGUAUUUGCAUGUGUGUCUGCGCAAAUGGAGAAUAGUGGUGAACCCUUUAAAUUAUUCAUUGUCCAACAAGGGAAUCGAGCUUCUAUUGUAUAAAAUUGUAAUAAUAUGACUUGCAAAUUUUGAAUGAUUGUAUAUUUGACGAAAAAUACGAU